UUGACAUGUCCGGAAUCCUGCAGAGAUGCGGGAGUGCCCGAAAGGGAAUCGGAACACAGGUGCUGCAUGGCUGUCGUCAGCUCGUGUCGUGAGAUGUUGGGUUAAGUCCCGCAACGAGCGCAACCCUUAUCAUUAGUUGCUACGCAAGGGCACUCUAAUGAGACGUGCCGGUGACAAACCGGAGGAAGGUGGGGAUGACGUCAAGUCCUCAUGGCCCUUAUGGGUAGGGCUUCACACGUCAUACAAUGGUCGGUACAGAGGGUUGCCAAGCCGCGAGGUGGAGCCAAUCCCAGAAAGCCGAUCGUAGUCCGGAUUGUUCUCUGCAACUCGAGAGCAUGAAGUCGGAAUCGCUAGUAAUCGCGGAUCAGCAUGUCGCGGUGAAUACGUUCCCGGGUCUU
rnacentral:rRNA from 1 species